GUGGAUUAGAUACCCUGGUAGUCCACGCUGUAAACGAUGCUAACUCGUUUUUGGAUUUUCGGAUUCAGAGACCAAGCGAAAGUGAUAAGUUAGCCACCUGGGGAGUACGUUCGCAAGAAUGAAACUCAAAGGAAUUGACGGGGGCCCGCACAAGCGGUGGAUUAUGUGGUUUAAUUCGAUGAUACGCGAGGAACCUUACCAAGACUUAAAUGGGAAUUGACAGAUUUAGAAAUAGAUCCUCCUUCGGGCAAUUUUCAAGGUGCUGCACGGUCGUCGUCAACU
rnacentral:rRNA from 1 species